rnacentral:rRNA from 1 species
UACAGAGGGUGCAAGCGUUGUUCGGAAUCAUUGGGCGUAAAGGGCGUGUAGGCGGUUUGCUAAGUCAUGUGUGAAAGCCCUCGGCUUAACCGAGGAACGACGCAUGAAACUGGCAGCUAGAGUACCAAAGAGGGGGGUGGAAUUCCCGGGUGUAGCGGUGAAAUGCGUAGAUAAUCGGGAGGAACACCGGUGGCGAAGGCGGCCCCCUGGUUGGAUACUCGACGGCUGAGACGCGAAAGCGUGGGGAGCGAACAGG